rnacentral:snRNA from 1 species
UACUUUGGGAUGUAUUUUACUAAAAUUGGAGUAAGAGAAUAUCAGCGGGGCCCCUGCCCAAGGAUGACAUACAAAUUCAUGAGAUGUUCUGUAUUUUU